AAAAAAUGUUCCUGUCCUGCUGGGCUCCGGGGCUCACAUGUGCGACAGGGGCAGCGUGCCGUUGAUGGCCGUGCUCGGCACCGGCGCGCCCUGGUAGUGCUGGGACAUGUGCAGUCUGCUGGGCGCCGCGGGCUCGGGCACCUCGGCACUGGGCAGGUACAUGCUGAUCAUGUCCCGCAGGUCCCCGGCCUGGCAGGGCGCCCUGGAGUGCGACGAAGAGGUGACCACAGGGGGGCUGGAGCUAGCCUCCGACUUGACCACGGAGCCCAUGGAACCCAGAGCCAUGGCGCCACCGCCGCCUCCGCCAGCGCCGCCGCCGGGGGCGGCCUGCUGCGAGUACGCCAUGCUGCUGUAGGUGGGCGAGCCGUUCAUGUAAGUCUGCGAGCUCGUCAUGGAGUUGUACUGCAGGGCGCUCACGUCGUAGCGGUGCAUGGGCUGCAUUUGGGCGGCCGCCGCCGCCGCGGCCGCGGCUGCGGCCGCAUUGUGCGCGUUGAGGCCCGGGUGCUGCGAGUAACCCAACUGCUCCUGCAUCAUGCUGUAGCCGCCGUUGCUCCAGCCGUUCAUGUGAGCGUAGCUGUCCAUGCGCUGGUUGACGCCACCGCCCAGGCCGCCUGCCCCGACGCCGACGCCGCCGCCCAUGCUGUUGCCGCCGGGUGCCAGCAGGCCGCCGGGCAGCGUGUAUUUGUCCUUCUUCAGCAGCGUCUUGGUUUUCCGGCGCGGCCGGUACUUAUAGUCCGGGUGCUCUUUCAUGUGCAGGGCGCGCAGCCGCUUGGCCUCGUCGAUGAAGGGACGCUUCUCGGCCUCGGACAGCAGCUUCCACUCGGCGCCCAGUCGCUUAUCUUGCGCCUCUGCCCGCGGGACCACACCAUGAAGGCGUUCAUGGGCCGCUUCACGCGGUCCGGGCUGUUCUUCUGGUUCGUGCCGCCCGCCGAAGUGGAGUUGGGGCCGCCGCCGCCACCACCGCCACCGCCGCCGCCGCCGCCCCCCGAAGUUUGCUGCGGGCCGGGAGGCUUGAGGUCGGUCUCCAGCAUGUUGUACAUCGUGCCGCUCCCUCGAUCGCGCGCUCCGCGGGCCCCCGACCUCCCCGGGCCGGCCUCGGGCGUCCCGGACGGGCCGGAGAGACUUUUCAGGGGACCCGAGGGCGGGGGGAGGGGGAGGAGGGGAGGAGGAGAAGGGUGGGGGUGUCGGGAGCGCGCGUCUCCAACAAAAUAAGACAAGAGGCGAUUAAAAACGCAGAGCAAGAAGUCGGACUGGAGGCAAGAUCAGGAAGAAAAAACUCCACCGGCUGGGACUACUGCUGCUGCUGCUGCUGCUGCUGCUGCUGCUGCUGCCGCUGCCGCUGCUACUGCUGCUGUCGCCGCCGCCGCCGCCGCAGUUAUUAUUGUUAUUAUUAUUUGGGAGAAAACGCUCCUUUGAGCCUGGGGCUCAAAACUUCGCUUUCUCCCCCUCUCUCUUUCUCUCUCUCCUUCUCUUCUUGCUUGUUCUCUCUCCUCCGAGUCUUAAAGAGGCAGCGAACUACUUUCCCCCCUUUUGCAAACACUCUCUUCUCCGCCUUGACAACUCCUGAGACUUUUUUGAACAAGUUAAUAGACAACCAUCCAUGUGAUGGGGGCUGUCAGGGAAUAAAUGGGUUUCCCCGGACCA
rnacentral:lncRNA from 1 species